UACGUAGGGUGCGAGCGUUAAUCGGAAUUACUGGGCGUAAAGCGUGCGCAGGCGGUUUUGUAAGCCAGAUGUGAAAUCCCCGGGCUUAACUUGGGAAUGGCAUUUGGGACUGCAAGGCUCGAGUGCGGCAGAGGAGACUGGAAUUCCUGGUGUAGCAGUGAAAUGCGUAGAUAUCAGGAGGAACACCAAUGGCGAAGGCAGCUCGCUGGGACGUGACUGACGCUGAGACGCGAAAGCGUGGGGAGCAAACAGG
rnacentral:rRNA from 1 species